CGCAACAGGGGACGCAAGGAUCCUCGAGCCGCAGUAAGCGGUCGCCGGGUCGGCCCGACAGGGGCUGACGGGCUCGGGGGGAGCGAGUGGCGAGACCGACCCCGAGGACC
rnacentral:ncRNA from 1 species